rnacentral:tRNA from 1 species
GGAGGGAUGCGAGAGCGGACGAAUCGGGCGGUCUCGAAAACCGUUGUGGCCCCAGGUCACCGUGGGUUCGAAUCCCACUCCCUCCG